UACGUAGGGCGCAAGCGUUGUCCGGAAUUAUUGGGCGUAAAGAGCUCGUAGGCGGCUUAUCACGUCGGAUGUGAAAGCCCGGGGCUUAACUCCGGGUCUGCAUUCGAUACGGGCUAGCUAGAGUGUGGUAGGGGAGAUCGGAAUUCCUGGUGUAGCGGUGAAAUGCGCAGAUAUCAGGAGGAACACCGGUGGCGAAGGCGGAUCUCUGGGCCAUUACUGACGCUGAGGAGCGAAAGCGUGGGGAGCGAACAGG
rnacentral:rRNA from 1 species